rnacentral:rRNA from 1 species
GAAAGCCUGACGGAGCAACGCCGCGUGAGGGACGAAGGCCUUUGGGCUGUAAACCUCUUUUCUCAAGGAAGAAGAUCUGACGGUACUUGAGGAAUAAGCCACGGCUAAUUCCGUGCCGGCAGCCGCGGUAAUACGAGAGUGGCAAGCGUUAUCCGGAAUUAUUGGGCGUAAAGCGUCCGCAGGCGGCCGUUUAAGUCUGUUGUUAAAUCGUGGAGCUCAACUCCAUCACGGCAAUGGAAACUGUUCGGCUUGAGUAUGGUAGGGGCAGAGGGAAUUUCCGGUGUAGCGGUGAAAUGCGUAGAUAUCGGGAAGAACACCAGUGGCAAAAGCGCUCUGCUGGGCCAUUACUGACGCUCAUGGACGAAAGCCAGGGGAGCGAAAGGGAUUAGAUACCCCUGUAGUCCUGGCCGUAAACGAUGAACACUAGAUGUUGGGGGAAUCGACCCCCUCGGUGUCGUAGCUAACGCGUUAAGUGUUCCGCCUGGGGAGUACGCACGCAAGUGUGAAACUCAAAGGAAUUGACGGGGGCCCGCACAAGCGGUGGAGUAUGUGGUUUAAUUCGAUGCAACGCGAAGAACCUUACCAAGGCUUGACAUCCUGCGAAUCUCCAAGAAAUUGGAGAGUGCCUUCGGGAACGCAGUGACAGGUGGUGCAUGGCUGUCGUCAGCUCGUGUCGUGAGAUGUUGGGUUAAGUCCCGCAACGAGCGCAACCCACGUUUUUAGUUGCCAGCAUUCAGUUGGGCACUCUAGAAAGACUGCCGGUGACAAACCGGAGGAAGGUGUGGACGACGUCAAGUCAUCAUGCCCCUUACGCCUUGGGCUACACACGUACUACAAUGCUACGGACAAAGAGUAGCGAUCUUGCGAAAGUUAGCUAAUCUCGUAAACCGUGGCUCAGUUCAGAUCGUAGGCUGCAACUCGCCUACGUGAAGGAGGAAUCGCUAGUAAUCGCAGGUCAGCAUACUGCGGUGAAUACGUUCCCGGGCCUUGUACACACCGCCCGUCACACCAUGGAAGUUGGCC